UACGUAGGGUGCGAGCGUUAAUCGGAAUUACUGGGCGUAAAGCGUGCGCAGGCGGUGAUGUAAGACCGAUGUGAAAUCCCCGGGCUUAACCUGGGAACUGCAUUGGUGACUGCAUUGCUGGAGUAUGGCAGAGGGGGGUGGAAUUCCACGUGUAGCAGUGAAAUGCGUAGAUAUGUGGAGGAACACCGAUGGCGAAGGCAGCCCCCUGGGUCAAGACUGACGCUCAUGCACGAAAGCGUGGGGAGCAAACAGG
rnacentral:rRNA from 1 species